rnacentral:rRNA from 1 species
GCUGGCGGCAGGCCUAACACAUGCAAGUCGAGCGCACUCUUCGGAGUGAGCGGCGGACGGGUUAGUAACGCGUGGGAACGUACCCAGAUCUAAGGAAUAGCCACUGGAAACGGUGAGUAAUACCUUAUACGCCCUUCGGGGGAAAGAUUUAUCGGAUUUGGAUCGGCCCGCGUUAGAUUAGGUAGUUGGUGGGGUAAUGGCCUACCAAGCCUACGAUCUAUAGCUGGUUUUAGAGGAUGAUCAGCAACACUGGGACUGAGACACGGCCCAGACUCCUACGGGAGGCAGCAGUGGGGAAUCUUAGACAAUGGGCGCAAGCCUGAUCUAGCCAUGCCGCGUGAGUGAUGAAGGCCUUAGGGUCGUAAAGCUCUUUCGCCUGUGAUGAUAAUGACAGUAGCAGGUAAAGAAACCCCGGCUAACUCCGUGCCAGCAGCCGCGGUAAUACGGAGGGGGUUAGCGUUGUUCGGAAUUACUGGGCGUAAAGCGCACGUAGGCGGAUUAGAAAGUUAGGGGUGAAAUCCCGGGGUUCAACCUCGGAACUGCCUCUAAAACUCCUAGUCUAGAGUUCGAGAGAGGUGAGUGGAAUUCCAAGUGUAGAGGUGAAAUUCGUAGAUAUUUGGAGGAACACCAGUGGCGAAGGCGGCUCACUGGCUCGAUACUGACGCUGAGGUGCGAAAGUGUGGGGAGCAAACAGGAUUAGAUACCCUGGUAGUCCACACCGUAAACGAUGAAUGCCAGUCGUCGGCAAGUAUACUUGUCGGUGACACACCUAACGGAUUAAGC